AUGAAGCAGCUGAUGCAAAGAGGCUCAGUGGAAACAUCAUUAUACAUUUUUGUUUUAAGACUCGUAGACUUUGUUUGUGUCAGAGUCAGAGUCGAGUCUGAGGUUUUUGUACGACCACUCAACCAGUUGGUUUCACUGUGGGACGUGUUUGGUGGAGGAACCAGACUGGAUGUUAGACUUGCUGACGCCCGUCCCACCCUGACGGUGCUGCCGGCCUCCAGUCAGGAGAAGGUCACGCUCACGUGUCUGGCCACCGGGGGCUUCCCCUCAGACUGGACCCUGUCCUGGAAGACGGACGGAUGCAGUCGCAUCAGCUGGGACGAGGGCGGGAGUCUGGCGGUGCAGGGCGCAGACGGCCUCUACAGCUGGAGCAGCACCGUGAGCAUCCCUGCAGACCAGUGGAGGAAGGUGGACUCUGUGACCUGUGAGGCCUCCCAGGGCUCCCAGUCUCCAGUCACAGAGACUCUGAGCCGAGACCAGUGCUCCCAGUCCUGAGCCCGCUCACUGCUGCCUUUAGCCGUUAUUCACUUCUUGUUGAAUUUGCCAAUACAAUAAAAAUAUCA